ACAGCAGUAGCCACGGUAAUACGUAGGUGGCAAGCGUUGUCCGGAAUUAUUGGGCGUAAAGGGCUCGCAGGCGGUUUCUUAAGUCUGAUGUGAAAGCCCCCGGCUCAACCGGGGAGGGUUAUUGGAAACUGGGAAACUUGAGUGCAGAAGAGGAGAGUGGAAUUCCACGUGUAGCGGUGAAAUGCGUAGAGAUGUGGAGGAACACCAGUGGCGAAGGCGACUCUCUGGUCUGUAACUGACGCUGAGGAGCGAAAGCGUGGGGAGCGAACAGGAUUAGAUACCCGUGUAGUCCCUGUCUCUUAUAC
rnacentral:rRNA from 1 species